UUUAAAAAAGGAAUUACUGAUGUUGACUGUUGUCAUAGUCACAACACAAAGAAAGUAUGUUUCCCCAAGGCACCAUUAAUUUCCUCUCUGGAUUUGCCAUUCCUCAUCCAUCCACCAGAUGCCCUCAGACUUUCACACCAGUCUCAUUCACCUGCUCAACUGUUUCCACUUUCCCUCAUCAGCCCUCCAGUAUAUAACCAGCCCUUUUCCACUCAUACACCUUUGCUUUCUGGCCACGUGAACCUGAUCUGCUCCUUGUUUUCCCCUGUUACCUGUCCCCUGACCUGCUCACCUGCUGUGCUGUCCUGUUCCCUACUUCUAAACUUAUUCCUAAUCUGAAGCCUUCAGUAAACUUCCCCUCAUCCUACCUGCUUGCCUGGAAAAAAAACAGAAUAAUUCUCCCCUCUGCUGUGAACUUGUCCUUUCAGACACAAGGCGAUAACGACACCACUGUGCUCUGAAACCCGUUAUCUCUAAUGGCUUGCAGCACACCACGACCUCUUUCCUGUGAUGCUGUGAUAUGCGGAAAAAAAACAGAAUAAUUCUCC